AAUAAUUGUAGUUUUGCAGUUUUGCACUAUUCAUCGUCUUAUUUGAAAAUUUUUUAUGAUUAGUAUUUUUAUUGCUAUUAGAUGAUAAAACAUGAAUAGUACUUUAUAUGUGACUAAAUGUUUUUAAUUUUUUCACAAAAUUUUCAAAUAAGACGGACGGUCAAACGUUGAACGUGAAUAGUGUAAAACUGCACUUAUU
rnacentral:pre_miRNA from 1 species